AGAACGAACGCUGGCGGCAUGCCUAACACAUGCAAGUCGAACGCCUGUAGCAAUACAGGAGUGGCGGACGGGUGAGUAACGCGUGGGAACCUGCCCAACAGUACGGAAUAACCAAGGGAAACUUUGGCUAAUACCGCAUACGCCCUUCGGGGAAAGAUUUAUCGCUGAUGGAUGGGCCCGCGUAGGAUUAGCUAGUUGGUGAGGUAAUGGUUCACCAAGGCUACGAUCCUUAGCUGGUCUGAGAGGACAACCAGCCACACUGGGACUGAGACACGGCCCAGACUCCUACGGGAGGCAGCAGUGGGGAAGUCUUGCACAAUGGGCGAAAGCCUGAUGCAGCGACGCCGCGUGGGGGAUGAAGCUUUUCGGGAGUGGUAAACCCCUUUCGACCCGGACGAAUGCCUCGCAAGAGGACUGACGGUACGGGUAUAGAAGCCCCGGCUAACUACGUGCCAGCAGCCGC
rnacentral:rRNA from 1 species